CUAAGGAAGAAAGGGAAAAUGGGUCACAGGCAGGGCUAGUGGAGGAUAAGUGGGCCCACAUGCGAGGCUGUGGGACGGGAGGGAAAGUGGUCACAGGCAGAGCUAGGCUAGUGGGACAGGAGGGAAAGUGGUCACAGGCAGAGCUAGGCUAGUUGGACGGGAGGGAAAGUGGUCACAGGCAGGGCUAGUGGGAGGGAAGGGAAGGUGGUGACAGGCAGGGCUAGUGGGGAAGGAAGGGAAGGGUGGUGACAGGCAGGCUAACCGGACGGGUGUUCAC
rnacentral:lncRNA from 1 species